AUGUCUUUUAUGAUCACAGCAGUGAUUGUAGCACAAAACACAUUUUGGACUUUGGCCCUUCAGAGUCAGUUACAUAUCUUUUGACACUAUAAAGAAAGUCCUAAAAGAGCAAACAAAGGAACUCACAUGUUUCUUAAAUAGGAAAAGUAAAGGGGAAAUUAAUUAUUUUGACAUCUAACUGUGUGUGUGGGAGGGUUCAGCUCUCCUAUCAAACUUCCUUAAUCAGUCUUUGGUUCACUGUUCUCCGGCACACACGGCAUGACCAACUGUCCUGAAAGGACAGUUUAUUUCUUCUGUGACAUAGUUGAGACUGUUGUAACACGUUAGUGAGUGAAGUACGUAAAGAUUUCACUUGAAGAUGUGGAUGUUGAUUUUGAUUGGACUAAACAUCAUCUCAAAGCUACAUGGCUAUUCACACGGCGGAGUCCCAGAGUCAUGUAAAUCAAUGUUGCCUGACCAUCGCCGGAGAGAUAAUCCGGUACUUCCUCAGACAUCUGAUCCUCCCUUUGAGGUUACAUAUGAACAUGGCAGCAGCAACAAAUAUCCUGUCAAAGUUACGCUCAAAAGCAUAGGAUCCACUCAAUUUAGGGGAUUUAUGUUGGAGGCACGAGAGGCCAGUCUCAAUGGGGAUGGUCCUGCAGUUGGUAAAUUCACAUUAGAUGACCCUUCUAUCAGUCAACUUUUACGAUGUAAUGAGUUAGAGGGCUCAGCUGUUAGUCACACAUCAAAUCAUGGAAAGACCACAGUCACUGUCUUCUGGACGCCUGUGGGAGAGGAACAAGACAUUAUUCUCAGGGCCACGUUUCUUGAGAACUUUAGCACUUUCUGGGAACCUGUGACUAUCAAUGUAACUUCAUUACCAAGUACUUCCCAGCCAGCAACUUCAGCAAGUACGUCAGAGCCAACGACUUUACAAAGUACCUCCCAGCCAACAACUUCAGCAAGUACGUCAGAGCCAACGACUUUACAAAGUACUUCCCAGCCAGCAACUUCAGCAAGUACGUCAGAGCCAACGACUUUACAAAGUACCUCCCAGCCAGCAACUUCAGCAAGUACGUCAGAGCCAACGACUUUACAAAGUACCUCCCAGCCAGCAACUUCAGCAAGUACGUCAGAGCCAACGACUGUAGUAACAACAAUAAUUCCUCCAAAUUGCAAUUGCUCCUGGAACCUAGAGAUCGCAACUGUGAACCUUGUCUUUAAAGAGUUUGAAGGGACAGUACACAACAUACUCACUGUCACAUUUGCCAAGAUUUCCCUCCGUCAUGACCUAAAUAAGGCAUCAUCAGUAGAAGUUAUAAAGACUUUAUGAUCUUUGGAGGCUAAGUAGAGAGUUCACAUUUGCCAAACACUACACAAACUCUCAUCUAUCUCACUAUCAUUCAUGUCACUUAAGAUAAUAUUGAGUGUAUUUCAUCUAUUUUGUAGGUGGUAGGUGCAGUGUGCAGCCUUCUUUGCAUUGUUCCUGAUAUAUUAAUCCUGAUCUGUCUUUGCAUCGUUGAACCCACAAAAGUCACUGCCAUAGCUCUUGUGACUGCGGUUACAGCGAUAAAUUUGAUAGAACUGGUGAUUGUGCUGUUACCAAUCGAACUCAGUCAUGAAUUGAAUCGGAUCCGUGAUUAUGCUGUUGAAGUAUGUUUCAUUCUCAAUCACAUUUUUGUAGUGACUUUCAUCUUUGUUGGGAUUGACGACAGUGAAGAUUGGAACACAAUAAUGCCUUUUAUCAUGGCUUUCACAGUAUGGAUAUUCCUGUCUCGAAUAUGGAGUCUUGUGCUCAUCAUUCAAAAAAGAAAAAUACUGAAGUGUCCUGAUACAGUCACAGUAAUGGUGCGUGUCAUCUUGAUCAUCUUCUUGGUUGGAACCAUAUGUUUUGCCAUACUAAUCACCUUGGUGGACGUGUUUUGUGUUAGGACUUAAUCAUACCUAAGUCAAACCUAAAAUAUGAAUCUGUUAAUGAUAUUUCCUUGUAUGCAUAUAAGUUGGACUUCUGUGUAAAAUGUAAAUAAAACAGAUUGCAAAGAUUUGCAAUUCUCAUUAACCCAUAUUUUAAUAGAACAUAAACAAGACAUCAGCUGUUAAUACUGGGAAAUUUUGUCAUUUCGUGGAAAAAAUAGGGCAAUGUCUAACAUUCUACAGUCCCAGUUCUAGCUGCUCAGCAGUCCUUGGUUUCCUCAUGUGCAAAAUGGUUUCUACUGAUGGAAAGAUCUGUAAUGCAGGAAUGCCAGUUUAACACCUGGACUCUUCCCCUAUGAAGCCACCCUGUUGUAAUGGAUGCAGUAUGUGAGUUAACAUCAUCUUGUUGAAAUAUGCAACACGUUCCCUGAAAGAGACAUUGUCUGGAUGGAGCAUAUGUUGCUCUAAAACCUCUAUGUUCUUUUAAGCUUUGGUGGUGCCUUUCAAGAUGAAUAAGGUGCCCAUGCCAUAGGCACUAAAACAACCCCAUGCCAUUAGAAAUGCAGGCUUUUGAAGUGAAGUGCUCAUAACAAACUUGAUGCAUCCUCAUCUGCACUCUGUAGGACAUCCAUGGUUUGCAAAAAGAAUUUCAAAUUUGAAUUCAUCUGACCACAGAACAGUUUUCCAUUUAGCCUCAAACCAUUUUAAAUGAGCUUUGCUUGAGGAUCAUGAGCAUCGACUUUUGACUUUCAACCUUUUCCCCACACAGAUAUUCCUCUAUUUCUCUGAAUCUAGUAAUUAUAUGAUACAAUAGAUGAUGGUAUCUUCAAAUUCUUCACAAUUUUAAAUGAUAAACAUCUUUCUGAAAUAGUUUCAAUGAUGUUGUUUCUAUAUGUAUUUUGUCACAGAUUGGUCAAACCCCUGUCCAUCUUUAUAUCUGAAAGUUUUGCCCCUAGGAAGUAGCCCUUUUAUACCCAGUCAUGUUAUUGACCUGUUGCCAGUUAACUUGACCCUCAACAAACCACAUCUCUGGCCCCCACAGAGCCCCUUUAACAUUUUUGAGGGUAUAAAAAAUGUUAAAUAUCACCAGAGUGUCAGACAGUUCUCUGUUUCCAAGAAAACCAAUCUAUCCAUACUGUUUAUUGAGGACACUAUUGUUCAGACAAUAGAAUUCUAUAGUAUGGAACUGAUCUUAGUUAACAAACUUCACAACCAACCAGCACUUUGAGGAGAUGGGUGUAGGAACAUUUUGUGGGCGAAAGGAGCAUGAUUGAGGAUGAAAUUAUAGCAAAGGGUGUCAAAUAUUUAUACCAGUGAUCUUCAACUCUGGUCCUGAGCUAACAUUUUCCAUGAAAUGGCAAAAUGUCUCAUUAUUAACAUCUGAUAUGUUGUUAUUGUUCUAGUUGGAAUGGAAUAUGUAUUUACAAGAUUUUCAAAUCUUUCUGUUUUUAUUAACAUUUUAUACAGUCUGCAUUUUUUUUGGAAUAGGGGUUGUAAAUGCAUCAAGUGACUUUUUAUGAGAGUGAAACCCCUGUCUCACUAGAAGUACCUCUAUAAUUACACAUUGUCAUGUACCAGGUAAGGUAAUAUCUGAGUAAAUAUUUGAACCGAGUGUUAAUACUUCCAGUGAAUACCUGUGUGGAAUGUCAUCUGAAAUCAAACCAUCCUAAACUACUGUGUUGCAAUAUGUUGAGAUCUUUUGGAUGUAUAUAUGUAAACAGCAUUUAUGAUCAUGAUAGUCAUAAAAUAUUGUUUUACUGUUCUGUUUUGUAACAUAAACCCAUAAACAUUUCUUUGGAAGUAUGUCCUCUCUAAUAAAAGUCAAACA